rnacentral:rRNA from 1 species
UACAGAGGUCUCAAGCGUUGUUCGGAUUCAUUGGGCGUAAAGGGUGCGUAGGCGGCGGGGUAAGUCGGAUGUGAAAUCUCAGGGCUGAACCCUGAAACUGCAUUCGAUACUGCCUUGCUCGAGGACUCGAGAGGAGAUUGGAAUUCACGGUGUAGCAGUGAAAUGCGUAGAUAUCGGAAGGAACAUCAGUGGCGAAGGCGACUUCCUGGACCAAUACUGACGCUCAGGUGCGAAAGCGUGGGGAGCAAACAGG